CACUCACUCGAAGGAGGCAGCUCAUCUUGCCCAGGGCCCCGCAGCGCCCCACAUAGUUGACUAAGCCCAUGUUGCCUUCUGUGGAGCCGUAGACUUCCCAGAUCCGAAUAGGACCGAAGCGCUGCUGGAAGGUCUCCCACACAUCAGCCCGGAGUCCAUUGCCCAUUGCCAGGCGGACUGUAUGUGUCCGGUCCUCUGGUUUCUACAGGAAUGUCCCCAGAAGGGUGAGGAGGAGGUGCUCUUGGGGCAUGCCUUGGAACCUUUACCUAGAGGGGGUGUUAUCCUGGGUCCUUACCUUGGGAGUUACCUGGAAGGUGAUGGGGGACCUCUAACCUAAGGGAUCUACCUGGGUUACUUAUACAUGAGAUUAGUUACUGGAGUCUUUUAAAUAGAGGGUUACCUGCAGGGAUGACCUGGGAGCUUUGCCUGGGGGACGUUACCAGAGGUGACUGGAGGCCUCAUCUGGGGUCUCACCUAAGAGUAGUUACCUAGAACUUUAAUUUAAUGGAAAUUUAAUUUUAAUUAAUUAAUUUUUAAUGGAAAUUCUCACGAUAGGGGUAAGGGAUAUUAUCCCUGUUUUCCAAAUGAGGACACUGAGGCUCAAGGUAGCACAGCUAUCAAAGAAACCACUAUUGGAA
rnacentral:antisense_RNA from 1 species